rfam:Nematostella vectensis strain CH2 x CH6 NEMVEscaffold_409_Cont26450, whole genome shotgun sequence.
GCCUCGUUAGCGCAGUAGGAAGCGCGUCAGUCUCAUAAUCAAAUCUAGAAAUCUGAAGGUCGUGAGUUCGAUCCUCACACGGGGCA